AACGAACGCUGGCGGCAGGCCUAACACAUGCAAGUCGAACGUGAAGCCACCUUCGGGUGGUGGAAAGUGGCAGACGGGUGAGUAACGCGUGGGAAUCUACCCAAUGGUACGGAAUAACUCAGGGAAACUUGAGCUAAUACCGUAUGUGCCCGAAAGGGGAAAGAUGUAUCGCCAUUGGAUGAGCCCGCGUCUGAUUAGCUAGUUGGUGGGGUAAUGGCCCACCAAGGCGACGAUCAGUAGCUGGUCUGAGAGGAUGAUCAGCCACACUGGGACUGAGACACGGCCCAGACUCCUACGGGAGGCAGCAGUGGGGAAUAUUGGACAAUGGGCGCAAGCCUGAUCCAGCCAUGCCGCGUGAGUGAUGAAGGCCCUAGGGUUGUAAAGCUCUUUCGACGGGGACGAUAAUGACGGUACCCGUAGAAGAAGCCCCGGCUAACUUCGUGCCAGCCGCCGCCGUAAAAC
rnacentral:rRNA from 1 species